rnacentral:rRNA from 1 species
UCCUACGGGACGCAGCAGUGAGGAAUAUUGGUCAAUGGGCGCAAGCCUGAACCAGCCAUGCCGCGUGCAGGAAGAAGCAUCUAUGGUGUGUAAACUGCUUUUGUACGGGAAGAAACACUCCCUCGUGAGGGAGCUUGACGGUACAGUAAGAAUAAGGAUCGGCUAACUCCGUGCCAGCAGCCGCGGUAAUACGGAGGAUCCGAGCGUUAUCCGGAAUCAUUGGGUUUAAAGGGUCCGUAGGCGGUUUAAUAAGUCAGUGGUGAAAGCCCGCAGCUCAACUGUGGAACGGCCAUUGAUACUGUUAGACUUGAAUUACAAGGAAGUAACUAGAAUAUGUAGUGUAGCGGUGAAAUGCUUAGAUAUUACAUGGAAUACCAAUUGCGAAGGCAGGUUACUACUUGUGGAUUGACGCUGAUGGACGAAAGCGUGGGGAGCGAACAGGAUUAGAUACCCCGGU